GUGGGGAAUCUUAGACAAUGGGCGCAAGCCUGAUCUAGCCAUGCCGCGUGAGCGAUGAAGGCCUUAGGGUUGUAAAGCUCUUUCGCUGGGGAAGAUAAUGACUGUACCCAGUAAAGAAGCCCCGGCUAACUCCGUGCCAGCAGCCGCGGUAAUACGGAGGGGGCUAGCGUUGUUCGGAAUUACUGGGCGUAAAGCGCGCGUAGGCGGAUUGGAAAGUUGGGGGUGAAAUCCCGGGGCUCAACCUCGGAACUGCCUUCAAAACUCCCAGUCUUGAGUUCGAGAGAGGUGAGUGGAAUUCCGAGUGUAGAGGUGAAAUUCGUAGAUAUUCGGAGGAACACCAGUGGCGAAGGCGGCUCACUGGCUCGAUACUGACGCUGAGGUGCGAAAGCGUGGGGAGCAAACAGGAUUAGAAACCCGAGUAGUCC
rnacentral:rRNA from 1 species